rnacentral:rRNA from 1 species
AGGGACGCUACCUGCAGUCGAGCGGCAGCACAGAGGAACUUGUUCCUUGGGUGGCGAGCGGCGCGACGGGUGAGUAAUGCCUGGAAAAUUGCCCGGAAGAGGGGGAUAACCCAUUGGAAACGAUGGCUAAUACCGCAUAACCUCCCAAGAGCAAAGCAGGGGACCUUCGGGCCUUGCGCUACCGGAUAUGCCCAGGUGGGAUUAGCUAGUUGGGGAGGAAAGGGCUCACCAAGGCGACAAACCCUAUGUGGUCUGAAAAGAUGAUCACCCCCCACUGGAAUUGAAAACCGGUCCAAACUCCUUCUGGAGGCAUCCAGGGGGAAUUUCCCCCAAGGGGUGCCAGCUUGAAUGAACCCCCCCCCCCUUUGUAAGAAAAAAAGCCCUUCUGCGUUACAAGGACUUUUCUAAGAGGGAGAGAAAGGGGCUUUAAAUAAAACCCCCUAAUACAUUUGUACGUUCCCCCCCAAAAAACAAAACCCCGACUUAUUUUCGUGCGUUACACCCCUGCCAAGAAAAAAAUCGAGGGGAGGAGACGCCUCAAUACCCCCAACACUCCGGGGGCGACAAACCCCCACUCGCAAAGUAAUUCUUUGUUUUUACCCCCACAAUUUAAAAAACCCCUCAGUCCUUUUCACCCUCUCAGAAAAACCACUCUUUUUAAUAAUCAGAUACCACACUACUAACCCAAUCUUAUUCACAUGGGGGGGAAAAAAUUUAUCUAUGGGACUAGCUCAAUUUAAAACGACCUACUAAUACAUUUUAAAGAACAACUCCCCCCUCCGCAUAAAAAGCCAGCCCCCCGUUUAAGAAAAAAUUUCGAACACCUAACAUAAUUCCCUACACUUCUGGGUUAG